CACCUAUGGAAAUUGAAACAUCAAAUAGUUUAGGAGAAGUUAUGUGUGGUUCCAAAAAUAAUUUAUACUGAGACAGGAGGGAAAGUAAGCAAAAUAAAAUAAAAUUUAUUCAACUCAAUUCAUUGAACAAUAAACUAGAAUCAAAUAACUAGAUUAUUAAGCUAGUAGUCUUCAACCUAGGUUGUAACGCCAAUCCAAUGGGAGUUGAAACAUACUUCUCUAUCAGUAGUUAGGUUAACUUUAAGUUCCUGAUUGAAUCAUGGCAAUUUCCCUCUGUAUGAUUCAAGAUUUAUGUGCAGAACAAUAUAUCAUGAGAUCCAAAUUUAACACAUAUAAAGAGAAGUGGUUCUAAAUUCCAUAGCGCAUCGCACAAGUAUGACUCAACUUUGCAUCUCCUUUGACUUGCUAACUACAGCUAUACAUAAGCGAGCAAUGUACAGUCAGUACAGAGAUCGGCGGUUAGUUCUUCCUUGGUAACAGAACGAUUUGGCAAUCUUGUCCAAAGCCAGCACCCACGAUGCGGCUACUAUCAACAGACUGGUAGGCAAGAAAUGUCUGAAAAUCAAUGAUCAGCUCAAAGGUGGACAACUAACUACACAUUUGUGUCUUGGUCUCUUUAGACAUUUCCAUACAACCAAUACCAACUAAAAUGUCAUCCCUCAACUUCAUUGCAUGUAGCAGGGCGUAAUUUGCAACCUUUGCCAAAUUGCUGGCUGAAUCAUUUACUUAUCAUGCCCACAUGAGAACGAGCAUAAAUGGAUCACCAAGCAAUCAAGCGAGUUAACUCGUAGCAGAGACGCU
rnacentral:lncRNA from 1 species